CGGCUCCAUCCUUUAUCCACUGCAUUAGCGGCACUUUCUGGCCCCGCUCGCUGUCGUAGCGCGUGAAGGGGAUCCCAUCCAGGUACCCGGUGGACAUGAACUGGGGGACCCCUGGGCUGGACUCUGACACUGCCACAGUCAGAGAAUGGUCCCAACUGAAUUCCAGCAAAGAAUGUGAAGCCCUUUGGAGAAUCUUUGAGUGCAUCCCCAGAAGAUUGACCUUGAACACCAACAUUGGAGGAGAACCCUUGUGAACAGGACCUCAACACCACACCAGCACCUCUUUAACCUCUAACAGACUUGAGCCCUUGGGAAAAUGGUUAAGAUUACCCCGUGGUAUCAGGGCUUACAGGGCUAGGAAAACUUCUGGGGGACUGGAAACUUGGUGGAUGGAUAAGAAAUUUAGUUAAAAUAGGCUUCUAUGUAUUAGGCAUUGUAUUAUGUAUUGCUAUGGUUAUUCCUUGUAUUUACACUGUGUGAAAAAAUUAAUAGGCAAAUCACUUAAGAGAGUAUUUUUGUUUGAAAAGAUAGGGAAAAGUAUGGGGAAUAAAACAGAGAGUACAGUGGAACUGAUAAAGGGGCCUGAUAUCUUAGGCCUGAUGGAGCAGAAACUGUGGGAGGGACAGACACAGAUUAAGGCUCCCUGGGCAAGAAGUGACCAAGAAACAUGUGAGACUUUGUGAUGUUAGCAGGUGAUGUGAUGUCAUGAAGAAUGUGUAACCAAUGGGAAAUUGUUACCAAAAAUAGAACCCUAUAUAAGUACCACAGAAGCCAAACCCUAUAUAAACCCUUGGUGUACUCAAUAAAAUUGGCUUCUGAUCUAAACUCAGAUGUCCCCAUCUCUCCAUUGUCGAUAACCCUGUUCUGGGUGAUCCCCGUUGGGUGGGGGGAAGGUGUUGGAGAGAUUCUUUCCCUUCUCCUUGUGCUGCUGUGAUUUGGUUGUUAAUAAAUUCCCUCUCUGUUCCCAG